CACAGUAAGUCUACGCCUUCUUAGAAACAUGUACCCUUGAGAUGAAGAUACGAAGGCUGCGUUGAGCCGUCCCACUGACUUUUAGUUUGAUGGCGUUGAGCUUCUCCGCUUUGAGAUGAUCCCUCAGCAUGUUGCGGUGGCUCUGUUUCUGCUCCAUGGCGAACUCCCUGAGGGUGAAGCGCUUCACCCCGCUGUGACGUGGCGACAUGCCCAGGGUGCUGCCACCCUGCGUGGGCACGCUGGUGAAGCCCUGCCGCCGGUUGAAGUAGUAGACCGUGACACUUUCAAAGUGCACGUUGCGGCCACGCAGGCGCUUUGACUGCUGCUGGAGGUUGGCUGAGAUUGGGACGGAGAAGAGGAAACAAACUGAGUGACUUCAACAGUUUGAAUGAAGAAGUAAGCUGCUGACAGGAGCAGUGUAGAAAUGUGAUCUUACAGUCCAGCAGUCCGGAGGGGACGGGAUGAUUUAGACUAUCACUGCUGUUGCCGCUGUCGCUGCAGGAAACGUCAUCAUCAGAGCCCUGAAGGGACAGGUAAGGAGACGGGCCCUCUUCAAGCUUUCUCUUCAGGAUCCCACUCAUCAUGUGGCUUCUCCCACUAGUCACACCUGCAUAGAGGAAAUACAUAAGCGACAAAAAACAUUAAACAUCAGGAAGUCCUCGACUCUCUCCUCUGCAUCACCAGCAGCAGCCAAACAUCCCCAUGUGUCGUGAUGAUGCAGUGAGCGCUGCCAUGAUGCCUGCUUUCUCCCUCUCUCUCUCUCUCUUCCUCCCUCUCUCUCUCUCUCUCUCUCUCUCUCUCUUCUUCCAGCAGCCUCUGGCACUAUUUCGCAGCACCGAAACACCUCUGCCUCUGUCACUAUCUCCUGCGCUCUCCCUCUGCACCCUCACUCUGUCAACUCUCUCACUGUCUGAUUCUCUCUCCUGCUCUGCACCCCUCCUCCUCCUCUCUAUCUCUCUCUUCCCCUCGCUCUCUCGCUCUCUCUCUACUCACAAAGACUUGUUAGCUCGAUGCUGCUGCCGGCUGGAGCGCUGGAGCUUGACUGAGGUGAAGCAAGCCCUUGGAGA